AUUGAACGCUGGCGGCAGGCCUAACACAUGCAAGUCGGGCGAGAGGAGGACGGGUGAGUAAUGUAUGGGGAUCUGCCUGAUGGAGGGGGAUAACUACUGGAAACGGUAGAUAAUACCGCAUAACAUCCGAUGAACCCAUAUUGGAGUGGCUUGUAGGUAAGGUAACGGCUUACCUAGGCGACGAUCCCUAGCUGGUCUGAGAGGAUGAUCAGCCACACUGGUACGUAGACACGGCCCAGACUCCUACGGGAGGCAGCAGUGGGGAUUAUUGCACAAUGGGCGCAAUCCUGAUGCAGCCAUGCCGCGUGUAUGAAGAAGGCCUUCGGGUUGUAAAGUACUUUCAUUCGGGAGGCGUUACCGAUAGAGGAAGCACCGGCUAACUCCGUGCCAGCAGCCGCGGUAAUAC
rnacentral:rRNA from 1 species